rnacentral:rRNA from 1 species
GAUGAACGCUGGCGGCGUGCCUAGCACAUGCAAGUCGAGCGAACAGACGAGGAGUUUGCUCCUCUGACGUUAGCGGCGGACGGGUGAGUAACACGUGGAUAACCUACCUAUAAGACUGGGAUAACUUCGGGAAACCGGAGCUAACACCGGAUAAUAUAUUGAACCGCAUGGUUCAAUAGUGAAAGACGGUUUUGCUGUCACUAAUAGAUGGAUCCGCGCUGCAUUAGCUAGUUGGUAAGGUAACGGCUUACCAAGGCAACGAUGCGUAGCCGACCUGAGAGAGUGAUAGGCCACCCUGGAACUGGAACACGGUCCGGACUCCUCCGGGAGGCGGCAGUAGGGAAUCUUCCGCAAUGGGCGAAAGCCUGACGGAGCAACGCCGCGUGAGUGAUGAAGGUCUUCGGAUCGUAAAGCUCUGUUAGUAGGGAAGAACAAAUGUGUAAGUAACUAUGCACGUCUUGACGGUACCUAAUCAAAAAGCCACGGCUAACUACGUG